UUAAGCAUAUCAAUAAGCGGAGGAAAAGAAACCAACAGGGAUUGCCUUAGUAACUGCGAGUGAAGCGGCAAGAGCUCAAAUUUGAAAUCUGGCACCUUCGGUGUCCGAGUUGUAAUUUGUAGAAGCAUCUUUUGGAUUGGUCCUUGCAUAUGUUCCUUGGAACAGGACAUCAUAGAGGGUGAGAAUCCCGUUCAUGGUGGGGAAUCCAAUUCUUUGUAAAGUGCUUUCGAAGAGUCGAGUUGUUUGGGAAUGCAGCUCUAAGUGGGUGGUAAAUUCCAUCUAAAGCUAAAUAUUGGCGAGAGACCGAUAGCGAACAAGUACAGUGAUGGAAAGAUGAAAAGAACUCCGAAAGGAGAGUGAAAAAGGACGUGAAAUUGUUGAAAGGGAAGUGCUUGAGAUCAGUCUUAAGGUUUAGUGAUCAGUCUUCCUUUUGGUUGGUGCACUCACUAUUUCUUAGGCCAACAUCAGUUUUGGCGGCAGGAUAAUGACAUUGGAAUGUGGCUCUUUCGGGAGUGUUAUAGCCUUUGUUGAUACUGCCUGCUUGGACUGAGGACCGCGCUUUUGCUAGGAUGUUGGCAUAAUGAUCUUAAGCAGCCCGUU
rnacentral:rRNA from 1 species